rnacentral:rRNA from 1 species
UACGUAGGUGACAAGCGUUGUCCGGAUUUACUGGGCGUAAAGAGCGCGCAGGCGGUCGAUCAAGUCGAGUGUGAAAGACCCCGGCUCAACUGGGGAGGGUCGUGCGAUACGGGCGAACUGGAGGCCAGUAGGGGGAUGCGGAAUUCCGGGUGUAGUGGUGGAAUGCGUAGAGAUCCGGAGGAACACCAGCGGCGAAGGCGGCAUUCUGGACUGGUCCUGACACUCAUGAGCGAAAGCGUGGGGAGCGAGUCGG